rnacentral:rRNA from 15 species
GCUUACGGCCAUACCACCCUGAACGCGCCCGAUCUCGUCCGAUCUCGGAAGCUAAGCAGGGUCGGGCCUGGUUAGUACUUGGAUGGGAGACCGCCUGGGAAUACCAGGUUGCUGUAAGCC